rnacentral:misc_RNA from 1 species
UGACAUUUCCUCUGGCUUUGCAAAUUGGAUGAGAGACAAUGGCUGCUUCUACAUCCAUUUCUCUCUCCUUCCUUGUAAUUAACCCUAAAUCACCUCUUUUCCCUCCACAAAAUCAAUCAAUUUCAUCCACUAGAAACCUCCAUAUUCACAAAAUUCACCGCUCAAAUCUACCAAUUUCAUUCAAAAUCAUCCGAAAUCGGAGAAUUUCUGCUAUUUCAGAGUUAUCAGAAGUGAAUGUAGCUGAAACUGCCGAUCAAAUUGUUUCAUCCACCGGUGACGACGGAGUUUCCACCGUCAUUCAAUCGCUUUUGGUCAUUGCUUUCGUCGGGUUAUCCAUUCUAACCGUCGGAGUAAUCUACAUUGCUGUUACGGAUUUUUUGCAGAAGAGAGAGAAGGAGAAAUUCGAGAAAGAAGAAGCGGCGAAGAAGAAGAAGAGCGGCCGGAAGGGGAAAAUUGUAGCGAGAGCUAGAGGUGGACCUCGAGGAUUCGGCCAGAAGGUUGAAGAAGCUGAAGAUGAUUAGGGUUUAGUUUGAACUGAAUCCGCACAAACUUCAACACGGCCCGCACAAUUUUACUUUGUUAGAUUGUAAUUUGUAUUAUUUUUUUUUGGAAAAGGA